rnacentral:tRNA from 1 species
GCUCCCUUCGUCUAGUGGUUAGGACGCUGCCCUCUCAAGGCGGAAACAGGGGUUCGAUUCCCCUAGGGAGCGCCA